GCCUAUAUAUAAGGGGUAGAGGGGACAAGCAGGCAUAAAAACAUAACAAGCAAAAGUGAAAGAAACAGAGAAAUGAGACCCUCAAUGAGCUUGUUUAUUACUAGUUUCCUAGUACUCAUGGUUUUUUCAGGAGCCUUUGCAAGACACCAUAAAUCUCCGCCGCCGGAACCGUCACCUAAUAAUCUUCCCUUCUCAAAAUCUCCAUCACUGCACAAGAAAUAUCUACCACCACCUCACCACCAUGAUGAGUCACCGCCAUCAGUACCUGAUCAAAUUUAUCAUAUACCUCCAUUUCCUCUUACCUGAGAGGUCUUGAAAGGAAAAUUGAAAGCAAGCCCUACUUCAAUAAAUGGAAGAUUUUUCAUCUAAAUAUGAUAAAAGGAAUAGUAUCUACGUGUGCUCAUAGCUGUUGGUGAACAAAUGAAAUAAAAUUUAGAAAACUGCCAUGCAAGAAUUAAUUGUAAUGUGGUUUUUAGUGUUGAACAAGCUUUUUCUCUUUUAUAUGAUAAUAAAAUUUGUUAAGCUUUGCGAGGAA